GGCGAAAUUGUAGUGCAAGUGAAGAUGCUUGCUACCCGCGAUUGGACGGAAAGACCCCGUAGAGCUUUACUGUAGCUUAGCAUUGAAUCUCGGUAUUGUCUGUACAGGAUAGGUGGGAGACUUGGAAGCUUGGGCGUCAGCCUGAGUGGAGUCAUCCUUGGGAUACCACCCUGACAGUACUGGGGUUCUAACCGGCGGCCAUGAAUCUGGUCACGGGACAUUGUUAGGUGGGCAGUUUGACUGGGGCGGUCGCCUCCUAAAAAGUAACGGAGGCGCCCAAAAGUUCCCUCAGCGCGGUCGGAAAUCGCGCGAAGAGUGCAAAGGCAGAAGGGAGCUUGACUGCGACACAUACAGGUGGAGCAGGGACGA
rnacentral:rRNA from 1 species